rnacentral:rRNA from 1 species
CCUACGGGGGGCAGCAAUCGGGAAUCUUGCACAAUGGACGAAAGUCUGAUGCAGCGACGCCGCGUGAAGGAUGAAGGUCGGAAGAUUGUAAACUUCUCAAUUCCCCGUAAGGGGAAGGAUUAAGCACCGGCUAACUACGUGCCAGCAGCAGCGGUAAAACGUAGGGUGCGAGCGUUGUCCGGAUUUACUGGGCGUAAAGAGUACGUAGGUGUUCCAAUAAGUCCCAAUUUAAAUCCCGCGGCUCAACCGCGGAACGUGUUGGGAUACUGUUGGAAUUGAGGGAGGUAGAGGAUGGCGGAACAUUGCAAGGAGGGGUGAAAUCCGAUGAUCUGCGAUGGAACACCAAAGGCGAAGGCAGCCAUCUGGGCCUUUCCUGACACUGAGGUACGAAAGCUAGGGGAGCGAAACGGAUUAGAUACCCCAGUAGUC